UGGGGAAUUUUGGACAAUGGGCGAAAGCCUGAUCCAGCAAUGCCGCGUGUGUGAAGAAGGCCUUCGGGUUGUAAAGCACUUUUGUCCGGGAAAGAAAUCCUUGGCUCUAAUACAGUCGGGGGGAUGACGGUACCGGAAGAAUAAGCACCGGCUAACUACGUGCCAGCAGCCGCGGUAAUACGUAGGGUGCAAGCGUUAAUCGGAAUUACUGGGCGUAAAGCGUGCGCAGGCGGUUUGCUAAGACCGAUGUGAAAUCCCCGGGCUCAACCUGGGAACUGCAUUGGUGACUGGCAGGCUAGAGUAUGGCAGAGGGGGGUAGAAUUCCACGUGUAGCAGUGAAAUGCGUAGAGAUGUGGAGGAAUACCGAUGGCGAAGGCAGCCCCCUGGGGCCAAUACUGACGCUCAUGCACGAAAGCGUGGGGAGCAAACAGGAUUAGAUACCCUGGUAGUCCACG
rnacentral:rRNA from 1 species